GAAAGACAAGAUCGGAAGCAUCGGCGGCGCGGCGGCUGAAAGUUGAAGAAACGAAAACGUUAAAAGGUCAAAAAAGAUCCGCCAUUGUCGGAGAGUGAGAGUGAGAGCGGCAAUCCAUGAAUUCCCUGCUCAAGCUUCGAAAGCCGUUAAGCUUUUCUCUCACCACUCUAUCUUUGCAUCGCUUCUCCUCAACUCUCAACUAUGCUUUUCAGAAUAAAAAGGAGGGUACGGGCUUUAUACACCCAACUGCAAUUGUUCAUCCAAAUGCUGUGAUUGGCCAGGGUGUUUCAAUAGGUCCUUUUUGCACAAUUGGUUCUUCCGCAAAACUAGGAAAUGGAUGUCAGUUGCAUCCUUCAAGCCAUAUUUUUGGAAAUACUGAAUUGGGGAACCACUGCAUUUUGAUGACUGGUGCUGUCGUUGGUGAUGAUCUUCCUGGGCAUACUGUAAUAGGAUGCAACAACAUCAUUGGGCAUCAUGCUGUGGUUGGUAUUAAAUGCCAAGACAUGAAGUAUAAGUCAGGUGAUGAAUGCUUUCUUGAUGUUGGAAACAACAAUGAGAUCAGAGAAUUUACUUCAAUCCAUCGAUCUUCAAAGUCAAGUGAUAUAACGGUUAUUGGUGAUAACAAUCUUAUCAUGGGGUCUUGUCAUAUUGCACAUGACUGCAAAAUUGGUAAUAAUAACAUAUUUGCGAACAAUACUCUCCUGGCAGGCCAUGUCAUUGUGGAGGACCAUGCACACACUGCAGGAGCAAGUGUUGUUCAUCAAUUUUGUCAUAUUGGCUCAUUUGCUUUCAUUGGUGGUGGAUCUGUGGUUUCACAAGAUGUCCCAAAGUACAUGAUGGUGUCUGGAGAGAGAGCUGAGCUUCGUGGUUUGAAUUUGGAGGGUCUUCGUCGUCGUGGAUUCCUAGUCACAGAGGUUCUAGAUUAAGUGUCUGAGGACAGCUUACAGAAAAAUUUUCAUGCCCAGUGACACAAAUUCUAUGGGAUUUGAUGAGCGUCUUGCUGAAGUGGCACAUGAUGAAGAUCUGGGUUGUGUUCCUGCUGUAUCUUCCAUGCUCCAGUCCAUUCGUGAUUCUUUUACUGAAAAUCGUCGUGGAAUAUGCAAAUUCAGACAAUGGAGCAGUUCUUGAGAGCAUUGCUGGAAUUUUAUAUGACAAUUGUCACAGUUUCGAGCUUUACAGCACCAGUCCGAGAAAGCUCUGGCUUGUUUCACAGAGGUUUGAUCUGUAGUUCUCAGAUAUAAUACAUAUCCAUUGGUUGAAGCUGCUAUUGGUUCAACGACAUUCAACAACACCUUUGUCAGCCUAUCGGCAGGGAUAUAAUCCUUAUUCUUAUCAAGCAGAUUUCAGCAAUCAUAUUAUUUCUCAUGUACGGGUCCUCGUCCUUAAGAAUACAAUUUUGGAAACUAUCUCUGUUACUUUCUUUCCUUAUUUUCUUUCAGUUUGUAGAUAUGUACCACAUGACCAAAAUUUCGCCUGAUUUGGGUUCCGUAAAGUUGUCUUUCCAAGUCGCCUUUUUCUUGCUAUUUUAAACAUAAAGAAAUGAUGUAUGGUUUAUUGAAGAUAAAUGGAGGCGGCUUCUGCGGCUAUCUUAGAGCA